rnacentral:rRNA from 1 species
CUUUAAUGGAGAGUUUGAUCCUGGCUCAGGACGAACGCUGGCGGCGUGCCUAAUACAUGCAAGUCGAGCGGGCUUUGCCUUCGGGUAAAGCUAGCGGCGGACGGGUGAGUAACACGUAGGCAACCUGCCUGUAAG